rnacentral:rRNA from 1 species
CCUACGGGAGGCAGCAGUGGGGAAUAUUGCACAAUGGGGGAAACCCUGAUGCAGCGACGCCGCGUGAGUGAAGAAGUAUUUCGGUACGUAAAGCUCUAUCAGCAGGGAAGAAAAUGACGGUACCUGACUAAGAAGCCCCGGCUAACUACGUGCCAGCAGCCGCGGUAAUACGUAGGGGGCAAGCGUUAUCCGGAUGUACUGGUUGUAAAGGGAGCGUAGACGGCAGCGCAAGUCUGGAGUGAAAUCCCAUGGCUUAACCAUGGAACUGCUUUGGAAACUGUGCAGCUAGAGUGCAGGAGAGGUAAGCGGAAUUCCUAGUGUAGCGGUGAAAUGCGUAGAUAUUAGGAGGAACACCAGUGGCGAAGGCGGCUUACUGGACUGUAACUGACGUUGAGGCUCGAAAGCGUGGGGAGCAAACAGGAUUAGAUACCCCGGUAGUC